GUCAAUAAGAAGCUGCGAAUAAGAAGCUGAAUUCAGCCUCGUCAACAAACCUGUCUCCAGAGCCCAAACUGCCUGCUUGAAGAUGAACACGGACGACGCAAUAAAAGUCUCCAUGUACAACAAAGGCCAUGAGGAAGAACUCUAUCAUGCUCACAGAGAAUAGAGCUCAGUGCUGCUAACUGGGAGAGCAGCUGGAAAACUGGAGGAGAAGAACAGUUGAACACCUAUUAAUACAGACGACUGUAUUAUUUUUCUGCAAGAACCACAACAAGCAAAGACAAUGAUGAGCACUCUGAGCAAACAACAGUCAGACGCUUGAUUAUGCACUGCACUUUACUGAGUUCUUCAGCAUGUGAUGCUGAGCAUUUAUUGUUUGUAAAACUACUAAUAAAUUAAGUGGA